GGCAGUGUGGCUCAGUGGUAGAGCGCUUGCCUGGCAUGUGUGAGGCCCUGGGUUCCAUCCCUAGUACUGCAA
rnacentral:tRNA from 1 species